rfam:Triticum aestivum genome assembly, contig: Triticum_aestivum_CS42_TGACv1_scaffold_033285_1BL
AAAAUACUCCCUCCGUCCCAAAAUUCUUGUCUUAAAUUUGUCUAGAUACGGAUGUAUCUGACUUGAUACAUCCGUAUCUAGACAAAUCUAAGACAAAAAUUUUGGGACGGAGUGAGUACUUA